rnacentral:rRNA from 1 species
AUUGAACGCUGGCGGCAUGCCUUACACAUGCAAGUCGAACGGCAGCACGGGAGCAAUCCUGGUGGCGAGUGGCGAACGGGUGAGUAAAGUAUCGGACCGUGCCCAGUCGUGGGGGAUAACGUAGCGAAAGUUACGCUAAUACCGCAUACGAUCUAUGGAUGAAAGCGGGGGAUCGCAAGACCUCGCGCGAUUGGAGCGGCCGAUAUCAGAUUAGGUAGUUGGUGGGGUAAAGGCUCACCAAGCCGACGAUCUGUAGCUGGUCUGAGAGGACGACCAGCCACACUGGGACGUAGACACGGCCCAGACUCCUACGGGAGGCAGCAGUGGGGAAUUUUGGACAAUGGGCGAAAGCCUGAUCCAGCCAUGCCGCGUGCAGGAUGAAGGCCUUCGGGUUGUAAACUGCUUUUGUACGGAACGAAAAGGUUUGGCCUAAUAAGCUGAGCUCAUGACGGUACCGUAAGAAUAAGCACCGGCUAACUACGUGCCAGCCGCCGCCGUAA